rnacentral:rRNA from 1 species
GAGUUUGAUCAUGGCUCAGGAUGAACGCUAGCGACAGGCUUAACACAUGCAAGUCGAGGGGCAGCGGGGGAGUAGCAAUGCUCCCGCCGGCGACCGGCGCACGGGUGAGUAACACGUAUGGAACCUGCCCGCAGCAGGGGGAUAAGCGGAAGAAAUUCCGUCUAAUACCGCGUAACACCGCGGAGGGGCAUCCCUCGGCGGUUAAAGAUUCAUCGGCUGCGGAUGGCCAUGCGGCGCAUUAGCUAGUCGGCGGGGUAACGGCCCACCGAGGCGACGAUGCGUAGGGGUUCUGAGAGGAAGGUCCCCCACACUGGUACUGAGACACGGACCAGACUCCUACGGGAGGCAGCAGUGAGGAAUAUUGGCCAAUGGCCGGGAGGCUGAACCAGCCAAGUCGCGUGAGGGAAGACGGCCCUACGGGUUGUAAACCUCUUUUGUCAGGGAGCAAGGUGCAGGUCGGGACCUGCUGUGAGAGUACCUGAAGAAAAAGCAUCGGCUAACUCCGUGCCAGCAGCCGCGGUAAUACGGAGGAUGCGAGCGUUAUCCGGAUUUAUUGGGUUUAAAGGGUGCGCAGGCGGAGGCACAAGUCAGCGGUAAAAUCGCGGGGCUCAACCCCGCUCCGCCGUUGAAACUGUGUCCCUUGAGUGCGCGAAGGGUAGGCGGAAUGCGUGGUGUAGCGGUGAAAUGCAUAGAUAUCACGCAGAACUCCGAUCGCGAAGGCAGCCUACCGGCGCGCGACUGACGCUCAUGCACGAAAGCGUGGGUAUCGAACAGGAUUAGAUACCCUGGUAGUCCACGCAGUAAACGAUGAAUGCUAUCUGUCCGGCCGGAAUGACGGCUGGGUGGCACAGCGAAAGCGUUAAGCAUUCCACCUGGGGAGUACGCCGGCAACGGUGAAACUCAAAGGAAUUGACGG